GACGGAAGGUGCAAGCGUUGCUCGGAAUCAUUGGGCGUAAAGCGCACGUAGGCGGUCCUUUAAGUCGGGUGUGAAAGCCCUCGGCUCAACCGAGGAAGUGCAUUCGAAACUGGGGGACUUGAAUACUGGAGAGGAUGGCGGAAUUCCCGGUGUAGAGGUGAAAUUCGUAGAUAUCGGGAGGAACACCAGCGGCGAAGGCGGCCAUCUGGACAGAUAUUGACGCUGAGGUGCGAAAGCGUGGGGAGCAAACAGG
rnacentral:rRNA from 1 species